GCUGGCGGCAUGCCUAACACAUGCAAGUCGAACGGUAACGCGAGGAGCUUGCUCCUUGGCGACGAGUGGCGGACGGGUGAGUAAUACUUGGGAAUCUGCCCAGUAGUGGGGGACAACAUUCGGAAACGGAUGCUAAUACCGCAUACGCACUACGGUGGAAAGUGGGGGACCUUCGGGCCUCACGCUAUUGGAUGAGCCCAAGUCGGAUUAGCUUGUUGGUAGGGUAAUGGCCUACCAAGGCGACGAUCCGUAGCUGGUCUGAGAGGACGAUCAGCCACACUGGGACUGAGACACGGCCCAGACUCCUACGGGAGGCAGCAGUGGGGAAUAUUGGACAAUGGGCGCAAGCCUGAUCCAGCAAUGCCGCGUGUGUGAAGAAGGCCUGCGGGUUGUAAAGCACUUUCAGUAGAGAAGAAAAGCUUGCGGUUAAUACCCGUGAGUCUUGACGUAACCUACAGAAGAAGCACCGGCUAACUCCGUGCCAGCAGCCGCGGUAAUACGGAGGGUGCGAGCGUUAAUCGGAAUUACUGGGCGUAAAGCGCGCGUAGGCGGCUUUGUCAGUCGGAUGUGAAAGCCCCGGGCUUAACCUGGGAAUUGCAUUCGAUACUGCAGAGCUAGAGUAUGGUAG
rnacentral:rRNA from 1 species